CCACUAAAGGUAGAUCUUGUUUGGAGGGCACAGCAUUGAUGUACAGUUUUUAAAAAAUGGCUGUCCCACAUUUCUCCCAGCAGUAAAACAGAGUGUCAACAGGUGCUAUCAGUACUUCCCACCGCCCAUGAAGCCAAACAUCAGGCGGAUGGAUUGUGAGAUCUUUCAUUUUGUGUUUGAUAUUUACAGCUAAACAAACAUUAGCGGUGUGCAGUGAGGAUGCUGGCCUUCAAAUGGGUGGAUUGUGAGAUCUCACAUCGGUUGAGAAGGGGAGCGAAGUAUUUUUCUUUAACCUUGAGAGAAAACUCGAAAGAGAAAUUUUAAAUAGGACAAUAUCUACGGUAGACUUGUGUUUAAAGGAUUAAAUAAUGUAUUAAAGAUCACAUUAUAUUAUGCUUGUAUCCAAUCAUAAAUCGAACGUUAUGCAUUGAAAAAAUUAGAAGUAACUUGAAAAAUCGACUAUAUUAUACAAUGAACUUGAAAAAUCGACUAUAUUAUACAAUGAAGAUGGUCGGUGAAACUAGUUUCAACUAUUUUAAACUGAUAGGUUUAAAUAGACCCCACUAACAUGCUAACAAGGCAUGAAGAAGCCAAUCCCCAACUUCAGGAAACAUCACUGUCUUAAAACCUUCAAUUUAUCUGAACACAACCCUCAUUCAUUGCAUCAUCUGCAAGCAUUAAAAGCCUUAUGAAUUAAACAACGCAUGGAUACAUCCACAUCAUGCCUUCAAACUGAAAGAUAUUGUCUCCCUCUCUGUGCUGUAAUGGAAGGGAUUACAGUGGCCAUUAUUCAGAAGAGUUCAUCACAGAGUUCCAAAUCCUCUCUACAAAUACUUAUUUGAUACUAAUCAAACAUUUCUACACUGUAUAUCAUUGCAUGAAUUGCCAAAAAUUUCAGGUGUUAUAACCCUGUUAGGUCUGAGAAAGAAAAAA